rnacentral:rRNA from 1 species
GACGAACGCUGGCGGCGUGCUUAACACAUGCAAGUCGAACGGAAAGGCCCUGCUUUUGUGGGGUGCUCGAGUGGCGAACGGGUGAGUAACACGUGAGUAACCUGCCCUUGCCUUUGGGAUAACUUCAGGCAACUGGGGCUAAUACCGGAUAGGAGCUCCUGCCGAAUGGUGGGGGUUGGAUAGUUUCGGCGGUUGGGGAUGGACUCGCGGCGUAUCAGCUUGUUGGUGUGGUAGUGGCUUACCAAGGCUUUGACGGGUAGCCGGCCUGAGAGGGUGACCGGCCACAUUGGGACUGGGAUAAGGCCCGGACUCCUACGGGAGGCAGCAGUGGGGAGUAUUGCACUAUGGACUGAGGCCUGAUGCAGCAACGCAGCGUGCGGUAUGACAUCAUUCGGGUUGGAAUCCGCUGUCGCCUGUGACGAAGCGUGAGUGACGGUAAUGGGUAAAGAAGCACCGGCUAACUACGUG